AUCCUUUUCCAGUUGGUAAGCAUGACGAUUGGGUGCUCACGUGUUGUGUGAUGUGUGCCUCCCCUUAAUCUUGUUAUGCAUUUGGCACCUUACCCAUCUGACA
ensembl:snoRNA